rnacentral:rRNA from 1 species
GAUGAACGCUGGCGGCGUGCCUAAUACAUGCAAGUCGAGCGAACAGACGAGGAGCUUGCUCCUCUGACGUUAGCGGCGGACGGGUGAGUAACACGUGGAUAACCUACCUAUAAGACUGGGAUAACUUCGGGAAACCGGAGCUAAUACCGGAUAAUAUAUUGAACCGCAUGGUUCAAUAGUGAAAGACGGUUUUGCUGUCACUUAUAGAUGGAUCCGCGCCGCGUUAGCUAGUUGGUAAGGUAACGGCUUACCAAGGGAACGAUGCGUAGCCGACCGGGGAGGUGAUCGGCCACACUGGAACUGAGACACGGUCCAGACUCCUACGGGAGGCAGCAGUAGGGAAUCUUCCGCAAUGGGCGAAAGCCUGACGGAGCAACGCCGCGUGAGUGAUGAAGGUCUUCGGAUCGUAAAACUCUGUUAUUAGGGAAGAACAAAUGUGUAAGUAACUAUGCACGUCUUGACGGUACCUAAUCAGAAAGCCACGGCUAACUACGUG